rnacentral:rRNA from 1 species
CCUACGGGAGGCAGCAGUGGGGAAUAUUGCACAAUGGGGGGAACCCUGAUGCCGCGACGCCGCGUGGGUGAAGGAGUAUUUCGGUAUGUAAAGCCCUAUCAGCAGGGAAGAACAAUGACGGUACCUGACUAAGAAGCACCGGCUAAAUCCGUGCCAGCAGCCGCGGUAAUACGUAUGGUGCAAGCGUUAUCCGGAUGUACUGGGUGUAAAGGGAGAGCAGGCGGCGCGUUAAGCCUGGUGUGAAAGCCCGCGGCCCAACCGCGGGACUGCAUUGGGAACUGGCGCGCUGGAGUGCAGGAGGGGCAGGCGGAAUUCCUGGUGUAGCGGUGAAAUGCGUAGAUAUCAGGAGGAACACCGGGGGCGAAGGCGGCCUGCUGGACUGCAACUGACGUUGAGGCCCGAAAGCGUGGGGAGCAAACAGGAUUAGAUACCCCUGUAGUC